UACAGAGGAGCCAAGCGUUGUCCGGAUUGACUGGGCGUAAAGCGCACGCAGGCGGACGCGCGCGUGGGGUGUGAAAUCUGGCCGCUUAACGGCCAGGCGCCAUCCCAUACGGCGCGUCUGGGGCCAUGCAGAGGUCGGUGGAAUUGCCGGUGUAGUGGUGAAAUGCGUAGAGAUCGGCAGGAACACCCAGGGGGAAACCAGCCGACUGGGCAUGUGCUGACGCUGAGGUGCGAGAGCGUGGGGAGCGAACCGG
rnacentral:rRNA from 1 species